rnacentral:rRNA from 1 species
AUUGAACGCUGGCGGCAGGCCUAACACAUGCAAGUCGAACGGUAACAGGAAGCAGCUUGCUGCUUUGCUGACGAGUGGCGGACGUGUGAGAAAUGUCUGGGAAACUGCCUUAUGGAGGGGGAUAACUACUGGAAACGGUACCUAAUACCGCAUAACUUCGCAAGACCAAAGAGGGGGACCUUAGGGCCUCUUUCCAUCGGAUGUGCCCAGAUGGGAUUAGCUAGUAGGUGGGGUAACGGCUCACCUAGGCGACGAUCCCUAGCUGGUCUGAGAGGAUGACCAGCCACACUGGAACUGAGACACGGUCCAGACUCCUACGGGAGGCAGCAGUGGGGAAUAUUGCACAAUGGGCGAAAGCCUGAUGCAGCCAUGCCGCGUGUAUGAAGAAGGCCUUCGGGUUGUAAAGUACUUUCAGCGGGGAGGAAGGGAGUAAAGUUAAUACCUUUGCUCAUUGACGUUACCCGCAGAAGAAGCACCGGCUAACUCCGUG